rnacentral:rRNA from 1 species
AUUGAACGCUGGCGGCAUGCCUUACACAUGCAAGUCGAACGGUAACGCGGGGCAACCUGGCGACGAGUGGCGAACGGGUGAGUAAUGCAUCGGAACGUGCCCAGAAGUGGGGGAUAGCCCGGCGAAAGCCGGAUUAAUACCGCAUGAGACCUGAGGGUGAAAGCGGGGGAUCGCAAGACCUCGCGCUUUUGGAGCGGCCGAUGUCAGAUUAGCUAGUUGGUGGGGUAAAGGCCUACCAAGGCGACGAUCUGUAGCUGGUCUGAGAGGACGACCAGCCACACUGGGACUGAGACACGGCCCAGACUCCUACGGGAGGCAGCAGUGGGGAAUUUUGGACAAUGGGCGCAAGCCUGGUCCAGCCAUGCCGCGUGCGGGAAGAAGGCCUUCGGGUUGUAAACCGCUUUUGUCAGGGAAGAAACGCUCUGGGCUAAUACCCUGGGGUAAUGACGGUACCUGAAGAAUAAGCACCGGCUAACUACGUG